GUAUGCCUACGGGACGCAGCAGUAGGGAAUCUUCCACAAUGGGCGAAAGCCUGAUGGAGCAACGCCGCGUGGGUGAAGAAGGUCUUCGGAUCGUAAAACCCUGUUGUUAGAGAAGAAAGUGCGUGAGAGUAACUGUUCACGUUUCGACGGUAUCUAACCAGAAAGCCACGGCUAACUACGUGCCAGCAGCCGCGGUAAUACGUAGGUGGCAAGCGUUAUCCGUAUUUAUUGGGCGUAAAGGGAACGCAGGCGGUCUUUUAAGUCUGAUGUGAAAGCCUUCGGCUUAACCGGAGUAGUGCAUUGUG
rnacentral:rRNA from 1 species